CGGGCUAGCGGGCUACUGGGCUGCGGAGACCAGAGCCCGGCUCCACUGAAGAAACCCGCCGGCUGCUGGGGCAGGGCGGCGAAAGGUCAGUCGGCCGAGAGGAGUCCGUGGAGCCACCGUUUCAUAGCCUCAGGGAAAGGAUCGGGCGUGCUCACGAGCCCUCUAACCCAUGGCUUAAACACCCGCUUCCUAAGCCUGGAUGGAAUGAUAGGGUAUGCAUAAAUGUUCAUGUGGGCUCUGGAGUAUACCAGGAACUGAAGUAAGGUACAUGGACGUCUUGAAUAUUGUAACUGAGAUGGGCAAGCCUACACCUUUGCAAAUAAAGGAGGAUUGGGAAAGAUUAAGAUCCUGUUAAACGUCAGUGUUACUAUUUAGCCUUUGAUAUCUCCAGUAAAGGCAACUUCUUUCUGGACCCAGAAAUAAAGCUUUACAUUAGCAGCUUCCAUAACACCAAUAACAUGAAUGACCAUCUACUGAGCAAUUGCAGUGCACCAGGAUUAUGGCUUAUGAGCACUUUAUGUUUAUUAUCUCACAACUCACUGAGUUAGAUACUCUCCACAACCCAGUGAGCCUCUCAAGCACUGUGAAAAAUCACUUUCUCUUGUUGUAUUCUUGGAGCCCCUGCUAAUUCAUUAUUGAAAAAUACCUGCUGCCUGCAUUUGGCCUUAUGUUGUCAUUUACUUGGUACUUCCUAAGCGUGGCUACUCCAAUGAAGCUUUAGUAUAUGUACUGAAAGAAGAUCCUCUCAUACUGCCACAGCCAAGAGAUAAGGUUGUAAAUCUUUAUUGGGAGAAGCCGUCAAGGACAGUUCUGUGAAAUGAAAGGAUCUCUGGAUCACCACAAAGUCUGGCUCAGUGACUAUGGCUUUGCAAACACUAAACAUUCCUGUCUCAAGUCCUGUAGAUGGCUUGAAAUAGUAUACAUAAGCAUGCCUUAUAAACAUCUUCAGUCUUUAUCAACUCUUUGGAGAUUCAGCCAUUCUUUUUUGUACUUUAGGGAAUUAAAUCAUUUUAUAAUGUAUAAAUCUGAGCAUGGCCGAUGGCAGAAGAAAUUUUGUCAUACGUUUUUAAAGAAAUAAAAAUGUAUUAUGUUUUAAAAUUCCUUUAACUGUUUUUCUUACAAAAU
rnacentral:lncRNA from 10 species